rnacentral:lncRNA from 1 species
AUUCAGUCUCAGUUCACAAUAAUAUUACAAACUCAAACUACUAUCUGCAUAUUAUAUAACAAGGUUAUUUUGGUAUCGAUCGAACACACAAGUAGUACCUACUGCGCAUGACGACAUUAUUGAGUUCCGAGCUCGCGCUUCGCGUCCAACACAAUUAGAUUCAGUGCUCAAUCGCUAGCAGUCUGAGCCAGGCGCGCCGCUCGAACAAUUUUAUAUACAUUUUUCCUUCUCGUGUUUUUCUUACGUACGCGUAUAAACUAUGAAGAAAGUUAAACAAAGUAUUUUUUUUAAGUUUUUCUAAAUUGUUUUUAUUUAGUUUUAUAGCAGUUUUCAGCCGGAAAAUAUCAAAAUUGAAGGUUUUUCUUUAUUUAUUGGGCUUUCAGUGAGUUUUUUUUGGAAAAUUGAUUUAUUUUUCAUGUGAGCAUUGUAAAUAGUAUUGAAUAUAAGCAUUAUUCGUUUUUAUAAAAUUUCAAAUAUUAAAUUGCUUAUCAUUACUUACUGUAAUACUGUGAAACGGAAACCAAGGCCAGUUUGUUCGAUAAAAAUACGAUUUUCCUCAUAUUACGGUGAAUCAUACUUCAUACAACAAACGAUUGGAGUUUAUUACUUAAAUCAUAAUUUAAAAUAUUCACUCAUAGAUGAUUAAUUAAUUACAAAUUAUGAAAAGAGUAGUUUAUAUUGCAACAAUAUUAACCAAUUUCAAAAAAGUUAUUUAUUUAAAAUUAUGCCUACAUAUCAAUUGUGAAUUUUAAAGUGGAAUAGAGGAAAUAAUUAUGAAUUCAAGUGCCUAUUUACUUUUCCAACAAAGUUAUCUUACAAAUAACUACGUACAGAGAAUUUGCUUACAUUAAAUGUACUUACUCACUCAUAUUAUAAUUUAUGAAAACGUAAUAAUGUAGAAACUUGUUAUCGUUCGUAAUAAAUAGUUAUGGAAAUAUUGAUGAUAAAAUCAGUGGGUGCUUUAGAGAUUUCUGGUUUAAUACGAGUAAUCUUAACUAAUGAUAUGAAGAGGAAAAACUUGUAUUUUUGUUUGGUUGUUUUAUUGGAUAAACUCAAGAACUACUGGACUGAUUUUAAAAAAUAUUUCACUGUUGAUCACAAUAAUAGAAAGACUCAGUAUGUAGGUAUGCUGCUGAUGAGCAAAUAAGAAAAAAAAAAUAGAACUGUCAAGUAUAAAAAGCACUUUUUCUUGAAAAAUGUCUCCUAACAUUAUUUUGCAUGCUGAAGCCUUCCACGUUGAUUUGAAUUAAAGAUACGAUACAAGACUUCUUGGUAUUGCAGUUAUUGUCAAGAUCUGGUUAAUCUACACUUAAUCCUUGAACCUGCAGCUGUUUAAAUAAGUUUUUGGCGACAUACCUAAACUUGGAAGAUUCUUAUGGAACACAUUUUGUCCAGGCCAUGGACAGUAGAAGUGAGACGAAACUCGUAGAAACAUUCUUCUUUUAAUAAAGAAUUGACUGUCGUUGUGUUGGCUUCGAAACCUGAAAAGUUAUGAUCGAAAACGUUACAACUCUGAACUGUAGAGAAAAUGUGGGU